UCCGAUAUCGAACGCCGGAGAUGGUGUGCCUGUUCCCGAGCCCAUUUCGUCCCAAAAACCUUGCAAAAACGCAAUUUUUAACUUCAAUUUCACACAUAAGCUUCAAAUUUCACGCAUGCAUCAACGAUUCAACAUAUGUGAUGUCGGUUUAAGGCUUAGGGUUUCAAUGGAAUCUCACCUGAAAAAUCGAUGACUGGGCCAACUCCUUGCUCAGCGGCGCACCACCAGAGACGACUGAGCCAAGUCCAACUUCGCCAGAGCCACGAUCAACGGCAGCGAAGGAUCGAGAGAGUGGGAGAAGGGGGAGAUCUGUGUGUGUGUGGGUCGAAUGGAGAAGGGGGAGAAGAGAGGUCA
rnacentral:lncRNA from 1 species